ensembl:lncRNA
UCAUCCCAAAUAAGAUUUAUUAAAAAGAGAAAGAGAAAAGGAAAUUGGAAAAAAGAAAGCAAAUGUUUAUUUAACAUUCAACAUAAAUUUAUUUACGUUCCUCAUAAUCUAAGCUAGAUAAAACAUUUCAGCUGCGUGAUAAAAGAAAAAAGAAAUACAAAUGAUUCACCUUCCAUUAAAAUCAAUCUUCUGUUUAUUUAAAUCCUCUGUUAUUAUGAACUUUCUCUAGAAAGACAUGUGAAUGUGCUACCAGUUUCCCUGGAGAAAACUGUAGUAAGAAACAGAUCAGAGGGAGAGUUCAUCACCUGCCCUGACAGGUGGUUCCUCGGGGUUGUUAUCUUACCCGUCAUUAACAGGUGCUUUUCAAAUGCUCAAUUACCUCUUUCACAGAUUGUCUUGCUCAGGUUGUAACAUUUCAGCAGAGCAAAUGCUAUCUGGACGUCAGCUUUAUCACAUCUUCUUGUACAUCAAUUUUCCCUUUGAGUCAAUUCUUCCUGCACUAAAAAUAUGAACUAUGGGCAGAUCCCUGGACUUGGCUUAUCAUUUGUCUGAGCUCUGAGUCUUAUAAUAAGGUUUUGAUUGUGUUUGCAGGAGACAGGUCAGAAUUGGACACCCUGAGCUGACUGCAUCAAACUUUCUGAUAUUUGAAAUCUGGAAUCAAUCUGAGGUUUGAAGUACCUCUACCAUCAAGAAAUAACACGUAAAAUGCAAUUACUCUUUGUCACUCUAACAGAAUGUAACUUGUUCUUGGUAGUCCAAAAAUGCAAGAAAUAAAGAAAAAAGUCUAUAAGCAGAUACACAACCAAGGUAAGCUAGUGGCACGACAACCUGAGCUGUAUGGGAUGUGUGUGACUGAGAGCACUCUUGUGCCACUGCCUUCUAAAUCAAGAAUGAAGGCAGUGGAUGGCUAAAAUGAAGACUCUUGACUUAAUGGUGCUACCUUGUUCUAGCCUGCCACAAAAUAACAAGGUAAUUAGGCGAGGCUGUGUCUGAAUAAUAAGUAGAUUGUCAUUGUGGGCUAUAGGAAAGAAGGCUUGUCUCACUGCUUCUCAGAAAACAGAGGGAGUUCUUACGUGGGGCUGAGAGGUACAGUGCUGUGUCCCCAUGAAAGCUGGACAGGAGGAGAAGGGUCUAUACCAAGACUUCUCCUGAGAGGAGCUGUUGGAAUGAUGGUGGUGCUGUCUUGGGCUCAGCCUUAUCAACAUGAAUUUGCAACCAGAUCAGCCUUGCACAUAGGCUCAUGGAGAAACCCACAUCAAAUAUUCCUUAAUGUCCACGAGAGAUGUUGCAGUCCUGAUCCCAGCUUGAUGAGCCAUAUAAGUGUGACAUCUACGUAGACAAGAGUAGCAUUACUUUUCUUUUGGCUACUAUGCCAUUCCCAUAAAUUGCUCGAGCAAAUGUCUUUGACGUGGGAACGGUUUAAAGCUGAAAAUAAAGCACUCUGGCCAUCCUUCUCUCUGUUUUCCUAAAGGAUCAGAGGGACCAGGCCUUUCUGCGGAUCUUUUAAUGCAGUUCUAUUGCCUUUACCAAAGCUAGAUUUGGCAGCUAUUUUUAUAGAGAAAGCUGUACAGCUUGCACAGUAUUUUAGAUUUUCAAAGCAGUCUAGGGGAUUUCAGACACAUAUCUUCCAUUUGCUUUAAUAUACCCUCACUUUAAUGAAAGAUACGUGCCUGAAUCCCCCCAGCUGCUUUGGAAGCCUUAGCUAUAGAGUCUGAUUUAAAGCCCACUGAGAUCAGAUCUCUCCACUGACGUCAGCGGGCUUUGGACAGUCCCGAUGUGAAGGAGUUUUCAUUAUUGGAUGUAUCUGUAAAAGGCCGAAUCUAAGCCAGCUCAUACUGUCAUAUUCUUAAUUUCAGGAAGACCUUGCUUGUCACCACUAAUGGCCACAGUCACAGAGCAGUAGAGCAGUACCACUUUCCAGGUGAUGAAUGAUUAAAUAGCUGCAGACACAGUGAAGUUUUUAAUGCAAUCAUUGUUAGAGAUGGAUCAGGGCAGGGGUUAAUGUUGCCUGAGAGACAUUCACUGUAAUUACAAGGGUCACACAGGAUGCCCAGAAACAAGGAAAAGAUUUUGAGAUGGUAGCACAGAAUGAAAGUAAAGGCCAGAAACAUGUUUCACACCUCCUUACACAAUGCUUGGCUGUUUUUCUCUUUCUCUUCAUCUUUUUUUUCUGAAACAUCCAAGAUAAGUUUCAACUGGAAAGAGAGGGGUAGGAGGUACUAGUGUCCUCUGUGAUGCAGAUAAGCCUUUCUGGGACCUGUUUGCCUUCUCUUUUAAGCAUUUAAGUUUAAGCUAUGUAUCAGGAAAGACUUUUCCCCUACAUCAGAACAGUAGGGACUGUUUUCAUUUGAAAGUAGGAUGGAGGGAAAAUGAAGAAGUUUACAGGAAACACAGAUUGUGUGUUCGCUGUAGUCCUCUCUCUUAGGUCCCUCAAAGAUUUCCAUUCUAUUUCUGGGGCCACAGGGCAGUGGCAAUGCUGCCUGUCUCUUCUGUGGGCAGGAGCAUGCAGCUUUGAUUUCCAUGAGCAUCCAGACUUUCAUUAUAAGCUCCAGAAAGUUCCUGCACCUCAGAGAGAGUAGAUUUGGUUAUGUUGAAUUCCCUGCCAGCCCUUAGAGAAAGCCCAGAUUAGUAGAGUUAACAGCCGUGUAUUGUCAGAAGCACAGAUAAAACCUCCAACAUUAUCUUUUGGAUUUUAAGUUGUCUUUUUUUCCCAUGAGUUUUUCCAUUCUGACCCAUCAGCCACACUCGUCUAAUGGAAAUAGCUGCAAGUGAGACUGGGGCAUCAUUGUCUGUAGGCUGAGGCCAUGGACUUGUGAAUUUAAACUAUGCUAAUGUAAAGUUUUGGAUCUCUUCUCAUCUUUGGAAACAUGUUCUAUCAGCAGGAAAUUCCAGGAAUCAUGUCAUGUCGGUGUGCACAAUACAGAAAAAGAACACAUAUUAAUUUGGAAAGAUGAUAUUUUGAACAAUUUUUAUGUUUUCAAGUGUUCCAGAGGGACUCAAAUCAAGAACCUGUAUCUCCUUGCACCUCCUUGGCCUAUGAGCAUUCCUUCCAACUCUAACGAUUCUAUGAUUCUCUGAUUUGAUGUUAUGUUCUUUAGUUUGAUUUAUUAAAAGGAUUAUGAGUCAUGGAAACAGCACAAAGUAAAUAAAUGAAUCUAUCUAAAACUGGAGUUGUUCCUUUUCUAUAACGAAUGCAAAGUCCAUUCAAACAAGCAGUUCAUUUCUCAGCAACACGGUAUCACUCCACUGAUGGUGCAUCAUUUGUGGUCACAGCAUAAAAGGAGUUUUCCACAAAGCUGAGAAACAGUGUGCAGCUCAGGAGAAAUAUCCCAUCUUGUGCUGCUUCAUUCUCUGUGAUUGUAAUUCCAAUGAUUCACAGGCAGAUAUUUUGGAUCUGUGUGUCUGUCUACGUAUACAUACGUAUGCGCUUACAUCUAUACUUACAGACGUCUCCCCCACACUCUUAUUUUGGAAUAUGAUUCCUAUGUGUGACUGCAGACAAACCCUCACAUUUCAUGUAAAGCAGUGGUAAGCUGUUAGAGAGUGGUGUCAUAGAUUGUUAUGACAGGUUAGUCAGAAAACUGACACGUUAGAGAGAAGUAACAUAUCCAUCUGAAAAGGCUGAAGAACUGACAAGAAUGUAGUUACACAUACAGUUUAGAAGUAUAUAGGCAUAUGAAAGCCCACUAUAAAGCUGCUGUCUGCAUUACAGUUUCUCCAUAUAUCUGCAGUAUUGUUAUGUACAAGUCUCAUGUAUAUGCUCUGGACUAGCUGUAACUUGAUAAAAACUGUUUCUGUUCUGUUGGCUUUAACAGGGUUAUCCAAAUUCAUAGCAGCUGAUUAUUUGUUGUGCUGAAUGUACAAACUGUCACCAACACCCAUCUUGUUUCUGAGGAACUUACUUAUUUUAUCAUUUGAACUAUCUUAAAAAUCUCAGGGGAGAUGUCAGAUUCCCUGCUUUUUCUGAGCUGCCUUCAGUACAAGUAAGAUAUUUACAUGUACAUCUGUGCAAUGUAAUUUGGACUGUAGCUGUGAUGCCAUAGCAUCAAAAAUUUGUUUCUAUCUGAAUAUGCUGAUUUAGAUGCCUCAGAAAAUUGCUCAUAAUCUACACGUUUGUCCAUAGACUGAAAAACCUGCUGUUAGUAAUCAAAGGCAAUUGCUACCCAUGUUUCGUGCUGAGAGCUAGUUUUUAUGCUUGGGGCUUUCUCCAUAGGCCUACGUAUAUGUCUCUGAAAUCAGUUUGCUUCAUUUUUCACUUAGCUUCACCAGAAUAGAUUUGCAACUUUGGUGUUAGAAGAUAGUGUUGCUGCCUUUCUCACCAUAUUUGUCUCCUAGGAAAAAAAAUAAUAUUUUUUUUUGUGGCAGGUUGGUCUAAACUGACACACAGAAAGAAAGCAAUAACAUGGAUGGCGAAACUGUAGGGGAAGGAAAAUACCCACUCAUCAAUGCUCCCUCAUAUUACUUUUGCUGGGUUAAAUUUCAGACUAUCUGAUUUUUAUCCCAAGUCAAAUAUUUCAUUUCAGCUGAAGUUUGGGUGGUAUUAACAGAAAGAAUAGCCAGAAUCUAACAUUUAUAGACACAGUCUCAUAGCCUUUCUUUCUCAUCCUUGUUUUUGUUUUUGUUAAUACCCUUCCUGUUUUUGGAGAAGCAGAGCCCUUUUUCAAACAGUGCUGCAGAGAACAACUGCUUGGGGACUGAGUCACGUGUCAGCAUCUGUGCCAAGUUCCUGGUAGGACAGGGAGCACUUGAGCCAUCCCAUUGCUAAUCAAACAAUCUGGCGACAUCCUGCCAAUCCUGUCCUUGUCAUCUGCUGCUCCCUCUGCACGCACAUUCGAUUAGCUUGGCAUCAGUCUUCCAGCUGCACACCAAGUUUCUUUCUCCUUGCUACCAGCCAAAGGAGGCAGGGAUGGACUGAUUUAAAAAGCUUGGCUCAUCUUUGCUGGCUUAUGACAAAUAUAUUCUCAAAUUAGUCCUGCAAGUCACUUUUUCUUAGUUAGAAAUGAUUUUUUUUUACAAUAAGCUGUGACAUAUUUUAUUUUAUUUUAUUUUAUAUCUUUUUAGACUGUUGGUCUGAUUUUUCUGUCCCAGGCUCAUUUUCCCAGUCACAUUCUUAGGUUUUGUUUCUGAAAAGUGGGAACAGUUUCCCUUUGAGAAUAUAGAGCACAUAAGCAGAUAAAACCACAUUGCUGCUUUCAGACCACAAUCACCCAUGUCCUUAAAGUUAAACAUAUCUCUAAGUACUGGUAAUGCAUGGUAAUGCAAAUGAGACCCAAGACUACUAACAGAAGUAUAUCAGUUUUCCUGAGCAUGGAGUCUUGGUGUCUCCUCCUCUGUGCAUGAUGUCUCCCAGAGGUUUGGCUGAUUCACAACCUCCUUGCUCUUGGGUUGUUGUUUCCUUCUUGAAUCUCCUCCUUGCCAAAAGAAAAGAAGACCAGGAAGAGGGUUACAAAAGCAGAAAUCCCCUUGGACAAUUCAAAUCAAAGAUGAAGAACUGCUGCUCAUAACGCACGGCUGGAAUUGCUCCCACAUGCCAAGAAAGAGCAAAGCCAAUCCCAUGGUAAAGCUGUGAGCUGAAGGACUACGAAGUCAUCUGCACUGGGAUGUUUCCCGUGAAGUUCUGAGGGACACGCACUGUCCUGCUGUGAUUUACUGGACGCUGCUAAACAGAGAUCUCUGGCUGGAAAACCCAAGGCUGGACGCUGAGCAGAUGGCAAUGGUGGCUGAGAUUUAUCGGAAAGGAGACGUUCUUGUCUUGGUGCAGCUCAUACUUUACGAGUGCUUGCCACCUUCUGGUUUGAGAAAGGAUUACAACCGUUAAACUACUGGGAAUUGAGAGGAAAUCGACUGUAAAAACUCUGGUCCUGUUCCUAAUCCCCCUAAAAGGAUUGACGGAUUUGCAAAGUGCCAUAAUGCCUGUCAGAGAAUUUGGAAAUGAAAAGAUGGAUGAUGCUGUCGAUAUCCUUGAAGAAUGCCCUUUAACCAUUGUGUAAAAUAUUCAGGGAAAAUAUUGAGAGCAGGAGCAAUGGAAAAUUAAUCUUAAAAGCGAAAUAGGUGCAAAGCUUCCAAAAAGAAAAGAAUUUUGAAAUAGUGAACAUUUUUUCUCACAAAAAUGUUUGCAGAUUUUGACCAAUCUGACACUUCCACUCAAUCCUAUCAGCUGUCAUUUGUCUGCCCAGCUUCAGUGAUGCCACUUAAAAUGAUUACAUCUGCCUUUUGUGCAGGAGGAGGAUGCACAGUAUCUGUAAAAAAAGCAACUUUACAGUCAUGGCUACUCAAAUAAUACGAAUAGCACUACAAAAAAAAGUCAGAAUUACCUUAUUCAGUCAUUUUUGAUUUAGCCAGAUGAGUGUUUUCACAACACAUGUGUACUUCAUGAAGGCUAGUAAACACUUUUUCUAAUGGAUAUCACAUUGUCUGGCUUCAUGUAAUUCAAACUUCAUUUCAGAUGUCACAGUUUAGUCCUUAAAAACCAUUUAUAUUUAAUUUACCAUGAUCUUAAUAGAAGGCACCAGAGUAUCUGAACACAUUCCAGCAGUGUAUGAAGCACUGUGACUAACAUAUGCCAUUUGUUUGUUCAAUUUGUUCCUUCCCAGCAUGGGACAAAUGGGCAGCAAAGCACUUCUUUCUGUGUUUUUAUAAUAUGCACAAAGAACUAUGUUUGUAUUGGGAAAGGCAGGUCUGAACCAAUAUCCCUCACACACAGAGAGAAAAGCAGUGAGGUUUUGAUGCUCCCCAGUCAUUGUCAGGUCACAUAAGGAUUUUGGCCGGCACUCCAAAAAUGGUUGGUUGAUUUCUCGGAUAUAACUUGACCUUGCUGAUCUUCUCACUGUAGGGUACAAGCACGGCAGAGUCCCUGCUUACCUUCGCUAAUCAGAACAGAUUUGCUGUAUCCCCCCACUGGGUCUGUACGAUGACUGUGGUUGCAGCAAGAUGAGCAGCAGCCAUUUGCCCACUUUGACUCCCUAAGAAGGCUGGGGAAGAGAAGCCGAAAAUUGGAGGAGAGCUGGCAGGUAUGGAUCAAUGGUGCGAUGCGCUGUAGAACUCCUUGCUGAGAACACAUCUUUUUGGAUACUAGCAUCUACAGAUAAUUCAGGAAAAGACAGGGAAGAAAUUAAAGAAAAUGAAGCCAUGACUUUUGUCAGGGCCCAGAAUUGCUUCUAUGCAGUAGAGAAGAGCUGGAGGAAAAAAGCUCUGCUAAUUCUUUCCAGACAAGAAGGCGAGUUAGGGUCAGAGCUAGCAGGAACAAAGAUAAAAAUAAAAGAACAAGAAGUCUCUGAGACACCAAGAAAUAAUUUUACACUUUCUACACUUUGCAGCCUGUGUUCACUCCCUGUCCAUCUUUCCCUGGGGCUGUGCUUGGUGCUACAGCCAUUUCUGAGGGCCAGGAGCCACGCUCAGCUGAGGAAGCAGCCACCAGUGAUGGCCAUCUUCAGGUUUGCCCUGAACCCUCCAGAGCAGACCCAGGGCCACUUUGAGACUGUGAGGUUUUGAGCGUCAGGCACAGCCUGGCAGCUUGCUCUGACUUUGCUGCAUUCGUUGCUGUCUCUUAAGCAACAUUCAUCUGCAUUUCUCACAACAAUUCCUUUUUCUGUUUUUUUUUCUUUUGUUUUUUUUUUUUUUUCUUCUUCUCAUCCUUAGGAUCAGGGUGCUGUUUUCUUAGAUUUGUUCUUGUGAAUCACUUCUGCUUAGUAGAUCGCUUUGUAACCACUUUGAGAAUACCAGGCAAUCAAAGUUUCAUUGCUAUGACUGUUCACUUAAAUGAUACAAUAUGUAUCUGCUCAUUAUGUGGUUGAAUGGCUUCCAGAUUUCCCAGUGCAUGCAUCUGAGGACGAUAUAUUUAAAAUUCCCACUUGGCAAAUGUUUUUCAAUACUGUCUUAAAUAAACUAGUUUCCAUGGAUGUUCUUGCCAAUACAUUUAUUAGUUCUGAUCUCUGGGCUUUAUCCAAACUGACCGGUCAUUUGUCAGUCAAAAUAUACAGAUGCAAAUGGUUGUGCCAUGAAAAAAAAAAAGGAAUUUUAGUUUCCAGUUCUUUCCAUGCUUGUGGUGGUGUUUUUCAUUCUGAGUACGGGACAUUUUCAGAAGGCAAAUUGUGAAACUGCUGUAGUAUCUGUUGCCUUUCUGAACACACGUGAGGCUCCACGAGGGUAUGUAACAGCAUGGCGAGAAACCAUUCCCAUCGCAGGAACAAACGAAGCUGAAUUUAUCUUGCCAUGGCAUUCACAAUUGAAAUGAAUAAAGACCCACAGGACUGCGUGCCAUUGGAUGGUGCCAAAUACAACCUUACAUGAGCUCCCUGCUAUCUGAAGGCUCCUGCUGCUUGCUGUAGCUCAUCACCAGGCAAACGGAUGAUUUAGUGCGUGCGAGUGUAGCCAUAAACCAAAAGCUUCCAGAUGAAAUAAUGCUCUCUCACUCUCAACAGAAGCAAUUACAAUGUAGCUGUCUGUACAGCCUUUAACAUUGCUACUAAAAGGCUGAGCUACUCUAAAGUGCACAGUGAUAGAGCUGAGUUUCUCCGGCUGAGUAGUUUUUGCACCUGCUGAACACAUCCUAUAGCCUUGGGAAUCUUAAAGGAAGACAGAAAAAGUCUACACAGCCUCACAGAGCGUGUGUUUUGGACGUGAAUACAUAACUUGCAUAUAAAAUAUAUACGCAUUCCUUCCUUUAUACACACACAUGCACAUAUGGUGAGAAAGCAAUGUCUUAUUUUGCUAUAUUUCUAAAAUAAAUCACUACUUUCAUAGGAUAAUUGAAAGAUGCUCACAGUUCUUCUAGUAUGGACUUAGAAUGAAUUUUCAUGAGAAAUAUCUUAUUUUCCCACAAAAUAUAUCCAGAGCAGAUAGAGUUUUCAGGAGCAAGUAAAAGAUACUCAGUUUUCCCUCACUUUAAUUCAAACAAUUCUUGGUGUUUCAAAAGUUUGACGAUAGCCCCACAGAAAAGAG